rnacentral:rRNA from 1 species
UUUCUAAACUCCCAAACCCUUGAGAACAUACCUUGGUUGCCUCGGCGAAAGCGUCGCCCUGGGAUGGCCUACCCUGUAGCGUCUUACCCUGGGCGGCGCCCCCCGCCGGUGGUCUUCUAAACUCUGUUUUAUUGUGUCACUUCUGAGGAUUAUUAUAAAAUCAGUUAAAACUUUCAACAACGGAUCUCUUGGUUCUGGCAUCGAUGAAGAACGCAGCGAAAUGCGAUAAGUAAUGUGAAUUGCAGAAUUCAGUGAAUCAUCGAAUCUUUGAACGCACAUUGCGCCCAUUAGUAUUCUAGUGGGCAUGCCUGUUCGAGCGUCAUUUCAACCCAUCAAGCUCUAAUUUUUGCUUGGCGUUGGGAGAACGCGGGGCCCUGGAGCCCCGCGCCUCCUCAAAUCCAUCGGCGGAGUCGUAGCGACCCAAGCGUAGUAAUUCUUUCUCGCUUUAGGUGUUUUGCUGCUGGCGUCUAGCCGCUAAACCCCCUAUUCUUUUUAGGUUUGACCUCGGAUCAGGUAGGAAUACCCGCUGAACUUAAGCAUAUCAAUAAGCGGAGGAAAAGAAACCAACAGGGAUUGCCCUAGUAACGGCGAGUGAAGCGGCAACAGCUCAAAUUUGAAAUCUGGCCUUCGGGUCCGAGUUGUAAUUUGUAGAGGAUGCUUUUGGUGCGGUGCCUUCCGAGUUCCUUGGAACAGGACGCCUUAGAGGGUGAGAGCCCCGUACGGUUGGACACCAAGCCUCUGUAAAGCUCCUUCGACGAGUCGAGUAGUUUGGGAAUGCUGCUCUAAAUGGGAGGUAAAUUUCUUCUAAAGCUAAAUACCGGCCAGAGACCGAUAGCGCACAAGUAGAGUGAUCGAAAGAUGAAAAGUACUUUGAAAAGAGGGUUAAAUAGCACGUGAAAUUGUUGAAAGGGAAGCGUUUAUGACCAGACCUUCGUCGGGCGGAUCAUCCGGUGUUCUUCACCGGUGCACUUCGCCCGGCUUAGGCCAGCAUCGGUUUUCGCAGGGGGAUAAAGGCCCCGGGAACGUAGCUCCCUCCGGGGAGUGUUAUAGCCCGGGACGUAAUACCCUUGCGGGGACCGAGGUCGCG